GACGUAGGGCGCGAGCGUUGUUCGGAUUUAUUGGGCGUAAAGAGCUCGUAGGCGGCUUGUCGCGUCGUUCGUGAAAUCUCACAGCUUAACUGUGAGCUUGCGGUGGAUACGGGCAGGCUAGAGUUCGGUAGGGGAGACUGGAAUUCCUGGUGUAGCGGUGAAAUGCGCAGAUAUCAGGAGGAACACCGGUGGCGAAGGCGGGUCUCUGGGCAGUAACUGACGCUGAGGAGCGAAAGCGUGGGGAGCGAACAGG
rnacentral:rRNA from 1 species